CUCCCAUCAGCCUGAUACGGGCCUGCACCGAAAUUCACCGAAACUAUUUACAGGGAGUCCCCACCAUGACACGAGACACCGAACAUCGAGCACCUGGCACCGGAGCUGCAGUGUGCAUACACCCAGAGAUGAGGAGAAAUGUGAGGGUAAAAAAAAGUCCGGUUCUACUGAUGGAGACUUUUAAUUAUUUUACCUGACAAGCGUUCUGCAGAAAGAUGUGGAAGAAGAAAACUGGGAAAAUUUCGAUCAGAGGAAGCCGCCCAAAGGAUCAUAAUCCAGGAUUUCUUUAAACAAGUAAACUGCAGAGGAAAAGUUUUGCUGUGAGUCUGCCUGCCUGGAGGCGAGGGACUGCAACACAUCCAGGAGUUCGCCAACAAACAAACGGAAGCAAUUAAACACACUCGCCUUCAGAUCAUCAAUGAGGAGGCAAAGUCAAGGCUGGUGGAAAAACCAACAAGGGCAAUUGUAAGACAGAAGAAGACUCUGCUGCCUCAAGGUUAAACUGUGUUAAGAGCCCAACACCACACAUCUAGAGGAUUCUUGCUUCUUCUACACACACACAUAGUUUAUUUUUAUUUUUACAUUAAACAUUCUUAUUUUACAACCUUGACAUUUCCAUUUAAAUUGAUGUUAUAUUUUGGUGUCUUUUAUAUGUUUUCACCCUUUCUUCUCUGCCACCACACUGUCCUGUAAGUAAUCAAAAAAUAAAAUAAAGACUAUCAUGGUCAAACCAU